AUGGAACGCUAGCUACAGGCUUAACACAUGCAAGUCGAGGGGCAGCAUGCUGAUAGCUUGCUAUCAGUGAUGGCGACCGGCGCACGGGUGAGUAACGCGUAUCCAACCUGCCUGUCACUCAGGAAUAGCCCGGUGAAAAACCGGAUUAAGUCCUGAUGAUAUCAUUAGAGGGCAUCUGACGAUGAUUAAAGGUUACGGUGACAGAUGGGCAUGCGGCGCAUUAGCUAGUUGGCGGGCAACGGCCCACCAAGGCGACGAUGCGUAGGGGUUCUGAGAGGAACGGUCCCCCACACUGGUACUGAGACACGGACCAGACUCCGUACGGGAGGCAGCAGUGAGGAAUAUUGGUCAAGUGGGCGCAGGCCUGAACCAGCCAAGUCGCGUGAGGGAGGACGGUCCUACGGAUUAGUAAACCUUCUUUUGGUCGGGAGUAACGUGCGGGACGGGUCCCGUAUUGAGAGUACCCGAAGAAAAGCAUCGGCUAACUCCGUG
rnacentral:rRNA from 1 species